rnacentral:rRNA from 1 species
ACGAGCGCGACCCUUAAGCUUAAGUGCCAUCAUCAAGUUGGACACUCUAGGUUAACUGACGGUGACAAACCGGAGGAAGGUGGGGAUGACGUCACAUCAUCAUGCACCUUAUGAUUUGGGCUACACACGUGCUACAAUGGAUAAUACAAACGGCAGCGAAUCUGCGAGGCCAAGCAAAUCCCAUAAAAUUAUUCUCAGUUCGGAUUGUAGUCUGCAACUCGACUACAUGAAGCUGGAAUCGCUAGUAAUCGUAGAUCAGCAUGCUACGGUGAAUACGUUCCCGGGUCUUGUCCACACCGCCAGUCACACAACGAGAGUUUGUAACACCCGACGCCGGUGGAGGAACCGUUUAGGAGCUCGCAGCCGAAGGUGGGCACAAUGAUUGGGGUGAAGUCGUAACAGGGUAGCCGUAACAGAAGGUGCGGCGGGAGCCCCU